UCUCGAAUCCUGUAAACCCUAGCUCUAUAAAUAUCCACGAAGCGAAGCCCGUUCCUUUCUCCCCAAAACUGGAAGCCGCCCGGCCGCGAAGUGAGAUCAGAGCGUGGGUCUGAGAGGUCGAAACUGCUGAGACGAUGAGGGCGAAGUGGAAGAAGAAGCGCAUGAGGAGGCUCAAGAGGAAGCGCCGAAAGAUGAGGCAGAGGUCGAAGUAGAUGGGCAAAUGCAAGGACAAUCUCUAUGGAUCCACCUCUCUUCAUUGGAUGUGGUAUUGGGAGCAUGUUCGUGUGGGAAUGGUGUUCCUGGGGAAAAAACCCUUGUCAUUCGUCUUUCCAAGUGCUUGUUUUGCCACUUUAGGUAGUAAUGCAUCUGAUUUGUCUAGCAAGAAAACCUUGUGUUUGGUUUUGACUGAGUAAGAUACCUUUUUGUUUGGAGCUAAUACUUUAAAACUGUCUCUAUUAUGAUGCGUAUAUUUAGUGGGGAGGUCCAAUUUAUAUUUUGCAUGGCUUGGUUGAGAAAGUAAGAUAGAUGGAUAUGUUUUUGAUGGUUGCA